GUCACUUUGCCGGAGUGGUUAACGGGAUCGCCUGCUAUUCAUUAGCUGUUCAGCGGUUGCUCUUUGAGCGCGUGUGUUCGAAUCGCACAGGUGACG
rnacentral:tRNA from 1 species